rnacentral:sRNA from 14 species
GGUGAUUGAAAUGGAUAGCCAAAGGCAAAAGAAGAAAAAUUCCACACCUAUGGGAAAUAAAAAUUAUAACAGGAUUAUAGCCCAAGGAAAAAGGAACCCCAAAAUGAAGGAUUGACAUCCAGCUGCAGGCUAAUAGGAAAGUGUUAACAUAUCAACAGCCAGGAACCCCACACUUUACCUUCAGGAUCAAGAGGGAACGCCGACUGGCUUCAAUCAAAAAGGGCAGGUCUUGCCAUGGAACCAAAUGAGCCACACACACAAGGCACAACCCAAUCCAACAGGAAACAGGCCAUAACCAGGGCAAAGGCUUCACCGAUGGUGACAGUAGAUGAUGAUGGACCCUCCGCUGAACUAUCCGCCCGUACGCGUAUGUCUGUUUGUAGGUUUCUUUCCAAUUUGCAGAUUUCUUUUUGUGGUGUCACCUAAUCAAUCCUACAUAUUUAUUUUUAAUUGUGUUAAUUUUUUUGAAGACAGCACAAUCGGCUUGCGUUGAUGGGGGCUAGAAAAACCCCUAUUCCUUAACCACCAAAGCUACCUACAAUCAGCUAACCCUAGGCGCUUCUUUCACACAAAUAUAGAGCACUGAAACAAAAGGCGCCUCCCACGAUGACUGGAGCGGUGAUGGUGACUGGACGUGUUAGGUGACCGACUGGGUGUUUAUAUAGUUGUUGAUUAUGUUCGUAUUUCGUAUGUGUAAUUAGUUCAUUAGCUUGUAGGUAUUUAGCCUUUUUUCAUGGGUUUAUAGAUAUUUAGGUUGUAAGUCCUUAAAAAAAUUUAACUCUAAAAAAAAAACAAAGGAAAAUCAGUUGCCUCUCUCUUCUUCUCUCUUGAAGUUGCCUCUCUCUUCUUCUUCCAGGGCAAAGGCUUGACCGAUGGUGACAGUAGAUGAUGAUGGACCCUCCGCUGAACUAUCCGCCCGUACGCGUAUGUCUGUUUGCAGUUGUGUUAAUUUUUUGAAGAAGACAGCACAAUCGGCUUGCGUUAAUGGGGGCUAGAAAACCCCCUAUUCCUCAACCACCAAAGCUACCUACAAUCAGCUAACCCUAGGCGCUUCAUUCACACAAAUAUAGAGCACUGAAACAAAAGGCGCCUCCCACGAUGACUGGAGCGGUGAUGGUGACUGGACGUGUUAGAGUAAAUACGUGUGAGCAACAACACUAACACUAACAAACACCCAGUUACAAUUAGAAGUUUGACAAUCGCGUUUUUUUUUACGUAAGAAAAUGACUUGUUGCACAGCGACUGCGGUUGUGCUCUCAAUGGGCGUCCCGAAAUGUAAAUUUUCCUUAGAUGAAAGAACAAGCUAUGAUAAAACGAACACAUUUCGGCAAAAUUUCCUUACAUGGAGUUUCAACACGAAAACCGAAUAUAGUAUUGGCGUAAAAAAACGUAUUUUGGAAUGAAAAUAAAAACAAAUGAUUACUGUAAAA